AAUGAACGCUGGCGGCAGGCUUAACACAUGCAAGUCGAGCGAGCGGCGGACGGGUGAGUAAUGUCUGGGAAACUGCCUGAUGGAGGGGGAUAACUACUGGAAACGGUAGCUAAUACCGCAUAGCAUCAGAUGUGCCCAGAUGGGAUUAGCUAGUUGGUGGGGUACAGGCUCACCAAGGCGACGAUCCCUAGUUGGUUUGAGAGGAUGACCAGCCACACUGGAACUGCGACACGGUCCAGACUCCUACGGGAGGCAGCAGUGGGGAAUCUUGCACAAUGGGGGCAACCCUGAUGCAGCCAUCCCGCGUGUGUGAUGAAGGCCUUCGGGUUGUAAAGCACUUUCAGCGAGGAGGCGUUACUCGCAGAAGAAGCACCGGCUAACUCCGUGCCAGCAGCCGCGGUAAUUC
rnacentral:rRNA from 1 species